UACGAACUGUGCGAACGUUAUUCGGAAUCACUGGGCUUACAGGGUGCGUAGGCGGCUUGUUAAGUCGGGUGUGAAAGCCCCCGGCUCAACCGGGGAAUGGCGCCCUAAACUGGCGAGCUAGAGUGAGAUAGGGGUGUGUGGAACUUCCGGUGGAGCGGUGAAAUGUGUUGAUAUCGGAAGGAACGCCGGUGGCGAAAGCGACACACUGGAUCUUGUCUGACGCUGAGGCACGAAAGCGUGGGGAUCAAACAGG
rnacentral:rRNA from 1 species